rnacentral:rRNA from 1 species
CGUGGUACACUUGUGGGGCAUCCCACGGGUGUUAAAAGGAAGUGAUUCCGGCGGAGGAUGGGCAUGCGGCGCAUUAGCUGGUUGGCGGGGUAACGGCCCACCAAGGCGACGAUGCGUAGGGGUUCUGAGAGGAAGGUCCCCCACACUGGUACUGAGACACGGACCAGACUCCUACGGGAGGCAGCAGUGAGGAAUAUUGGUCAAUGGGCGGGAGCCUGAACCAGCCAAGUCGCGUGAGGGAAGACGGUCCUAUGGAUUGUAAACCUCUUUAGGCGGGGAGCAAUGCCGGGCACGCGUGCCCGGAGGGAGAGUACCCGCAGAAUAAGCAUCGGCUAACUCCGUGCCAGCAGCCGCGGUAAUACGGAGGAUGCGAGCGUUAUCCGGAUUUAUUGGGUUUAAAGGGUGCGUAGGCGGAUUUUUAAGUCAGCGGUAAAAUGUCCGGGCUCAACCCGGGCCGGCCGUUGAAACUGGGGAUCUUGAGUGGGCGAGAAGUAUGCGGAAUGCGUGGUGUAGCGGUGAAAUGCAUAGAUAUCACGCAGAACUCCGAUUGCGAAGGCAGCAUACCGGCGCCCGACUGACGCUGAGGCACGAAAGCGUGGGGAUCGAACAGGAUUAGAUACCCUGGUAGUCCACGCAG